rnacentral:other from 1 species
UUUGCCCUGCCCGGUGCGUGAUUUGAAACAAAGUCCUUGAACCGUAAUAAAUAAAUUAGGGAGCCUCAAGUUCGGCGUUGGCCGACAUGCCUUGACUGGAAGUCGAAAGACGCUGAACCGGUUCCACUUGUUUCGCUGCAGUUCAGAGGAACUGUUUACACACGGCCAGGGUGGGGCGAUU